AUACUUCGACAGCAUGUAUACCAAAAUUGGAAUGAUACAGCGAUUAGCAUGACCCCUUUGCAAGGAUGCCAUGCAAAUCUUUGAAGAAUUCUGUGUUGUU
ensembl:snRNA U6 U6 spliceosomal RNA